rnacentral:tRNA from 1 species
GAGGUUGUGGCUCAACGGUAGAGCGCGCUCGCCUAGCAUGGGCGAGGCCCUGGGUUGGAUCCCCAGCACCACA